rnacentral:rRNA from 1 species
UGCGAGUCAUUGUAGCAAUACAAGGCAGACGGCUCAGUAACGCGUAGUCAAUCUACCCUAUGGACGGGAAUAACCUCGGGAAACUGAGAAUAAUGCCCGACAGAACAUUAUACCUGGAACGGUUUAUGUUUCAAAUGAUUUAUCGCCGUAGGAUGGGACUGCGGCCUAUCAGUUUGUUGGUGAGGUAAUGGCCCACCAAGACUAUUACAGGUACGGGCUCUGAGAGGAGUAGCCCGGAGAUGGGUACUGAGACACGGACCCAGGCCCUAUGGGGCGCAGCAGGCGAGAAAACUUUGCAAUGUGCGAAAGCACGACAAGGUUAAUCCGAGUGGUUUCUGCUAAGAAACCUUUUGCUAGUCCUAGAAACACUAGUGAAUAAGGGGUGGGCAAGUUCUGGUGUCAGCCGCCGCGGUAAAACCAGCACCUCAAGUGGUCAGGAUGAUUAUUGGGCCUAAAGCAUCCGUAGCUCGUUUUGUAAGUUUUCGGUUAAAUCCAUACGCUUAACGUAUGGGCUGCCGGGAAUACUGCAUAACUAGGAAGUGGGAGAGGUAGACGGUACUCGGUAGGAAGGGGUAAAAUCCUUUGAUCUAUUGAUGACCACCUGUGGCGAAGGCGGUCUACCAGAACACGUUCGACGGUGAGGGAUGAAAGCUGGGGGAGCAAACCGGAUUAGAUACCCGGGUAGUCCCAGCUGUAAACUAUGCAAACUCAGUGAUGCAUUGGCUUGUGGCCAAUGCAGUGCUGCAGGGAAGCCGUUAAGUUUGCCGCCUGGGAAGUACGUACGCAAGUAUGAAACUUAAAGGAAUUGGCGGGGAGCACCACAAGGGGUGAAGCCUGCGGU